rnacentral:lncRNA from 1 species
CAAGCAAAUGUUAUUUAGCAACAGAUCUCAUGCUACUGUUCUGUAAACUGAUGUGGGAGUUGCUAUGUCACAAUCACAUCCCACAUUGUGGAUGAUAGAUGCCAAAAUGCUACAAUAGACUAAUGAGGUGAAGCAGAAUUAUGUGUCUUGGAAAAGAUUUUACAAAGAUCUUCUGGUGACAGAGGGCAUGAUAACUUGAACUUGGACAGGGAUGAAGAGUGAUUAGUUGACCUAAUUGAUACCUCACACAAGAAAUUUUUAGGCAAAGUUAAUUGCAGAGUCAAGGGAAGGGACCAAAAGGUGAUGUAUAUGGUUGUCACUCUCCUCCAUCUUCCAAACGUGCAAGCUAAAAGCAAAUCUGAUGCGACUGCCGAGGUCAACCUCAACGAGAUCACAUCUGGAUCAAUUAUAUGAGUUGUUUCGUCAUGAUUUGGUACUGAUCAUGCAAUCAUGCAGCUCUUACCCCCAUGCAAAAAUUAUGGUAUGUGCUACUCAUCACUCUACAGAUUUGAUCUCUAGUAAGAUUGAGUACUUCUUGAAAUCAACAUGUACAGUGGUCACUAUGGUCUUCUGCUGCUCAAUUCUUUGUUCUAGUAGUUCCAUGACAGCACAUCGAGUCGCUCUGCAUCAGGCAGGAGCUCCUGGUAAUUGAAGUUGCUUCUGAUGGAUGUGUAGAUAUCAGGCGCCAUGUUGGUGAUCAAACCUGUUUCCUCUGAAAUGCUGAGAGCCUCCUCCUCCAUCUUCAAGUUCUUGUCAUUGCCACGGCCGUAGCUCUCGGACAACUGCACCGAACUGUCUCCUCG